rnacentral:rRNA from 1 species
UACGAAGGGGGCUAGCGUUGUUCGGAAUCACUGGGCGUAAAGCGCACGUAGGCGGAUCCUUAAGUCAGGGGUGAAAUGCCGAGGCUCAACCUCGGAACUGCCUUUGAUACUGGGGAUCUCGAGUCCGGGAGAGGUGAGUGGAAUUGCGAGUGUAGAGGUGAAAUUCGUAGAUAUUCGCAAGAACACCAGUGGCGAAGGCGGCUCACUGGCCCGGUACUGACGCUGAGGUGCGAAAGCGUGGGGAGCAAACAGG